rnacentral:rRNA from 1 species
CUGGCAGUCAGAGGCGAUGAAGGACGUGCUAAUCUGCGAUAAGCGUCGGUAAGGUGAUAUGAACCGUUAUAACCGGCGAUUUCCGAAUGGGGAAACCCAGUGUGUUUCGACACACUAUCAUUAACUGAAUCCAUAGGUUAAUGAGGCGAACCGGGGGAACUGAAACAUCUAAGUACCCCGAGGAAAAGAAAUCAACCGAGAUUCCCCCAGUAGCGGCGAGCGAACGGGGAGCAGCCCAGAGCCUGAAUCAGUGUGUGUGUUAGUGGAAGCGUCUGGAAAGGCGCGCGAUACAGGGUGACAGCCCCGUACACAAAAAUGCACAUGCUGUGAGCUCGAUGAGUAGGGCGGGACACGUGGUAUCCUGUCUGAAUAUGGGGGGACCAUCCUCCAAGGCUAAAUACUCCUGACUGACCGAUAGUGAACCAGUACCGUGAGGGAAAGGCGAAAAGAACCCCGGCGAGGGGAGUGAAAAAGAACCUGAAACCGUGUACGUACA